rnacentral:rRNA from 1 species
CGGCAGGCUUACACAUGCAAGUCGAGCGGUAACAUUUCUAGCUUGCUAGAAGAUGACGAGCGGCGGACGGGUGAGUAACGCGUAGGAAUCUGCCUAGUAGUGGGGGACAACAUGUGGAAACGCAUGCUAAUACCGCAUACGCCCUACGGGGGAAAGGAGGGGAUCUUCGGACCUUUCGCUAUUAGAUGAGCCUGCGUGAGAUUAGCUAGUUGGUGGGGUAAAGGCCUACCAAGGCGACGAUCUCUAGCUGGUCUGAGAGGAUGAUCAGCCACACUGGGACUGAGACACGGCCCAGACUCCUACGGGAGGCAGCAGUGGGGAAUAUUGGACAAUGGGCGCAAGCCUGAUCCAGCCAUGCCGCGUGUGUGAAGAAGGCCUUAGGGUUGUAAAGCACUUUCAGGAGUGAGGAAGGGCGUAUAGUUAAUACCUGUAUGUUUUGACGUUAACUCCAGAAGAAGCACCGGCUAACUCUGUGCCAGCAGCCGCGGUAAUACAGAGGGUGCGAGCGUUAAUCGGAAUUACUGGGCGUAAAGCGCGCGUANGCGGUUUGUUAAGUCGGAUGUGAAAUC